GGAUGAAAUCAUACCAGCACUAAAGCACCGGAUCCCAUCAGAACUCCGAAGUUAAGCGUGCUUGGGCGAGAGUAGUACUAGGAUGGGUGACCUCCUGGGAAGUCCUCGUGUUGCAUUCC
rnacentral:rRNA from 1 species